rnacentral:rRNA from 1 species
AAGUCAUACGGGAUACGGGGUAACUCGGGUCUAGUGGCGAACGGGUGAGUAUCGCGUGGGAAACCUGCCCUUGAGACGGGGAUAACACCUCCAACGGGGUGCUAAUACCGGAUAAGACCACGGAGUCGCAUGGCUCUGCGGUCAAAGGUGGCCUCUACUUGUAAGCUACCACUUAAGGAUGGUCCCGCGUCCCAUUAGCUAGUUGGUAGGGUAAUGGCCUACCAAGGCUACGAUGGGUAGCUGGUCUGAGAGGAUGGUCAGCCACACUGGGACUGAGAUACGGCCCAGACUCCUACGGGAGGCAGCAGUCGAGAGGCUUCGGCAAUGGGGGAAACCCUGACCGAGCGACGCCGCGUGGGCGAUGAAGGCCGUUAGGUUGUAAAGCCCUGUCGAGCGGGAAAAAUUGUAGGCGGGUGAACAAUCCGCUUAUUUGAUGGUACCGUUAAAGGAAGCUCCGGCCAACUCCAUGCCAGCAGCCGCGGUAAUACGGGGGGAGCGAACGUUGUUCGGAAUUACUGGGCGUAAAGGGCGUGC